UACGUAGGGUGCGAGCGUUGUCCGGAAUUACUGGGCGUAAAGAGCUCGUAGGUGGUUUGUCGCGUUGUCCGUGAAAACUCACAACUCAAUUGUGGGCGUGCGGGCGAUACGGGCAGACUGGAGUACUGCAGGGGAGACUGGAAUUCCUGGUGUAGCGGUGAAAUGCGCAGAUAUCAGGAAGAACACCCGUGGCGAAGGCGGCUCUCUGGAACGCAACUGACGCUGAGACGCGAAAGCGUGGGGAGCAAACAGG
rnacentral:rRNA from 1 species